rnacentral:rRNA from 1 species
GACUAAGCGUACACGGUGGAUGCCCUGGCAGUCAGAGGCGAUGAAGGACGUGCUAAUCUGCGAAAAGCGUCGGUAAGGUGAUAUGAACCGUUAUAACCGGCGAUGUCCGAAUGGGGAAACCCAGUGCAAUUCGUUGCACUAUCGUUAACUGAAUACAUAGGUUAACGAGGCGAACCGGGGGAACUGAAACAUCUAAGUACCCCGAGGAAAAGAAAUCAACCGAGAUUCCCCCAGUAGCGGCGAGCGAACGGGGAGCAGCCCAGAGUCUGAAUCAGCUUGUGUGUUAGUGGAACGGUCUGGAAAGUCCGACGGUACAGGGUGAUAGUCCCGUACACCAAAAUGCACAGGCUGUGAACUCGAAGAGUAGGGCGGGACACGUGGUAUCCUGUCUGAAUAUGGGGGGACCAUCCUCCAAGGCUAAAUACUCCUGACUGACCGAUAGUGAACCAGUACCGUGAGGGAAAGGCGAAAAGAACCCCGGCGAGGGGAGUGAAAAAGAACCUGAAACCGUGUACGUACAAGCAGUGGGAGCACCUUCGGGUGUGACUGCGUACCUUUUGUAUAAUGGGUCAGCGACUUAUAUUCUGUAGCAAGGUUAACCGUAUAGGGGAGCCGCAGGGAAACCGAGUCUUAACUGGGCGUUAAGUUGCAGGGUAUAGACCCGAAACCCGGUGAUCUAGCCAUGGGCAGGUUGAAGGUUGGGUAACACUAACUGGAGGACCGAACCGACUAAUGUUGAAAAAUUAGCGGAUGACUUGUGGCUGGGGGUGAAAGGCCAAUCAAACCGGGAGAUAGCUGGUUCUCCCCGAAAGCUAUUUAGGUAGCGCCUCGUGAACUCAUCUUCGGGGGUAGAGCACUGUUUCGGCUAGGGGGUCAUCCCGACUUACCAACCCGAUGCAAACUACGAAUACCGAAGAAUGUUAUCACGGGAGACACACGGCGGGUGCUAACGUCCGUCGUGAAGAGGGAAACAACCCAGACCGCCAGCUAAGGUCCCAAAGUCAUGGUUAAGUGGGAAACGAUGUGGGAAGGCACAGACAGCCAGGAUGUUGGCUUAGAAGCAGCCAUCAUUUAAAGAAAGCGUAAUAGCUCACUGGUCGAGUCGGCCUGCGCGGAAGAUGUAACGGGGCUAAACCAUGCACCGAAGCUGCGGCAGCGACACUAUGUGUUGUUGGGUAGGGGAGCGUUCUGUAAGCCUGCGAAGGUGACCUGUGAGGGUUGCUGGAGGUAUCAGAAGUGCGAAUGCUGACAUAAGUAACGAUAAAGCGGGUGAAAAGCCCGCUCGCCGGAAGACCAAGGGUUCCUGUCCAACGUUAAUCGGGGCAGGGUGAGUCGACCCCUAAGGCGAGGCCGAAAGGCGUAGUCGAUGGGAAACAGGUUAAUAUUCCUGUACUUGGUGUUACUGCGAAGGGGGGACGGAGAAGGCUAUGUUAGCCGGGCGACGGUUGUCCCGGUUUAAGCAUGUAGGCUGGUUGUCCAGGCAAAUCCGGAUAAUCAAGGCUGAGGUGUGAUGACGAGGCACUACGGUGCUGAAGUAACAAAUGCCCUGCUUCCAGGAAAAGCCUCUAAGCAUCAGGUAACAUUAAAUCGUACCCCAAACCGACACAGGUGGUCAGGUAGAGAAUACCAAGGCGCUUGAGAGAACUCGGGUGAAGGAACUAGGCAAAAUGGUGCCGUAACUUCGGGAGAAGGCACGCUGGUGUGUAGGUGAAGUCCCUGCGGAUGGAGCUGAGACCAGUCGAAGAUACCAGCUGGCUGCAACUGUUUAUUAAAAACACAGCACUGUGCAAACACGAAAGUGGACGUAUACGGUGUGACGCCUGCCCGGUGCCGGAAGGUUAAUUGAUGGGGUUAUCCGUAAGGAGAAGCUCUUGAUCGAAGCCCCGGUAAACGGCGGCCGUAACUAUAACGGUCCUAAGGUAGCGAAAUUCCUUGUCGGGUAAGUUCCGACCUGCACGAAUGGCGUAAUGAUGGCCAGGCUGUCUCCACCCGAGACUCAGUGAAAUUGAACUCGCUGUGAAGAUGCAGUGUACCCGCGGCAAGACGGAAAGACCCCGUGAACCUUUACUAUAGCUUGACACUGAACAUUGAGCCUUGAUGUGUAGGAUAGGUGGGAGGCUUUGAAGCGUGGACGCCAGUCUGCGUGGAGCCAACCUUGAAAUACCACCCUUUAAUGUUUGAUGUUCUAACGUUGGCCCCUGACCGGGGUUGCGGACAGUGUCUGGUGGGUAGUUUGACUGGGGCGGUCUCCUCCCAAAGCGUAACGGAGGAGCACGAAGGUUAGCUAAUCCUGGUCGGACAUCAGGAGGUUAGUGCAAUGGCAUAAGCUAGCUUGACUGCGAGCGUGACGGCGCGAGCAGGUGCGAAAGCAGGUCAUAGUGAUCCGGUGGUUCUGAAUGGAAGGGCCAUCGCUCAACGGAUAAAAGGUACUCCGGGGAUAACAGGCUGAUACCGCCCAAGAGUUCAUAUCGACGGCGGUGUUUGGCACCUCGAUGUCGGCUCAUCACAUCCUGGGGCUGAAGUAGGUCCCAAGGGUAUGGCUGUUCGCCAUUUAAAGUGGUACGCGAGCUGGGUUUAGAACGUCGUGAGACAGUUCGGUCCCUAUCUGCCGUGGGCGCUGGAGAAUUGAGGGGGGCUGCUCCUAGUACGAGAGGACCGGAGUGGACGCAUCACUGGUGUUCGGGUUGUCAUGCCAAUGGCACUGCCCGGUAGCUAAAUGCGGAAGAGAUAAGUGCUGAAAGCAUCUAAGCACGAAACUUGCCCCGAGAUGAGUUCUCCCUGAGACUUUAAGUCUCCUGAAGGAACGUUGAAGACGACGACGUUGAUAGGCCGGGUGUGUAAGCGCAGCGAUGCGUUGAGCUAACCGGUACUAAUGAACCGUGAGGCUUAACCUUACAACGCCGAAG